rnacentral:snRNA from 1 species
AUCACAGCGUUCACUUCAUAGCGCACCAAUCUUUCGCCUUUUACUAAAGGUUGCCGUGAAUGGGACGCAUCAAUGUGACUCACACAAUUUUUGGGGAGCUCUGAGCUCC